UUUUUUUAUUAAAAUUCAUUAUUUGGACAACUUUUUUUUUAUAUCAUUAGAGAUGAAAGGAUAAGAUACUGAGAGAUAUAAAGUAUUAAUUAUUGUUUAAUGCUCUUCACCAUGCAGGUAGAAAGGAUACCGCCAAUCUUACAGAUGCGGAGGAGAGGAGAGUACCCUCGUUACUACUGUGAUGGCAUACCUGGACUUUGCCCUGAGUGCCAACAUUGAAUUCAAAGAAAAUAUAAGUCGCUUUCCACAAUCUGUCACAUAUUGUUAGUUUUUUUUGUGACAUGCCAUUUGAAAUCGUUUCUGAUAAAGAAUAUUUACCUUUUGA